CUUCCAGCCUGUCAUAACUCCAGUCAGUCGUCUUUUGUUUUUCCUAAAUGUGACGUCAUGUUUUCUUCUUUAUGUCAAUUCUACUCAAGCGUCCAAACCGAAACAUAAAGUCCCGUCAAACGCGAACACAAUGUUAAAUGAGAUUAAAUGAACGAUUGUAAAUGAUCAUUUGGAUUAAAAGUGAAAUAAUAAUGUCAUAUAUUCAUAUUAUGAUCAAAAUAAUGACUUGAUUUAGUAGCUUUAAGUACUAUAAGUACUAUAAGUGCUUAAUGCACUAAAGUCGGAUGAAGUGCUUUUACUGUGAACUUUUGGAGUAAUCCAGGGUCAAAGUUGACUUGAACAAAACUGAGGUUAUUCUUUUUUUGAAGUGGUAUCAAAUCCACAUUUAUGAUUUAAAUGUAAUUGUACUUAGUACUUUUUGAUGUCCUUGAUGAACAAAUAUGCAGUUAAUAAGUAAUCCAGGAUCUAAUUGGACUUUUGCUCUCAAAACUGAGCUCAUCAGCUGACUUGAAUGCAGACAACAGCCCUUCAGUCACAUACAGAGUAGCCUAGCACCAUCUACUGGCACAAAUAUGUAAGUGACAUGAACAGCAGGUUUCAUAAAACACCUUCUCUGACAGAAAACUCCUGAUGUGUUACACUUUUCUCUCGUGUGAUCACUGGACUGAACACAGAUCCACAUCAGACGUCCUCCAGGAAACAUGAAGGAGAUUUUCCACUCAAACUGAGAGAAUGACUGAAGUCCAGCAGAUGAGUGGUUGUGUGGAGGAAGACGAGGACAGAGCAGAGUCUCCAGGACCCAGCGGUCUGUCUGUGAAGAGUGACCAGUCUAUGGAAACACCUUUCACCUUCAGUCAUGAACCUGGAGCCUCAGAGACAAACUUCUUACCUGACCACCAGAGGGCGGGCUCUUCUGUUAAACCAGUGGACUCACCUGCAGUGAAGGGCUGUAAAGUGUGAUGCAAACAGCGUCUUGACAGGUGGCGCUCUGCUAUGAAUCAGCUCAAGGACAGUGAAGAGGAAGCUCCGCCCUCUAAAACCACUCUGUGUGAGGAACAUGAGGGU